rnacentral:rRNA from 1 species
CAGCAGCCGCGGUAAUACCGGCGGCCCGAGUGGCGGUCACUAUUAUUGGGCUUAAAGCGUCCGUAGCCGGGCUGGUAAGUCCUCCGGGAAAUCUGGUCGCUUAACGAUCAGACUUCCGGGGGAUACUGCUGGCCUAGGGAACGGGAGAGGCCGAGGGUAUUCCCGGGGUAGGGGUGAAAUCCUGUAAUCCCGGGAGGACCACCUGUGGCGAAGGCGCUCGGCUGGAACGGGUCCGACGGUGAGGGACGAAGGCCAGGGGAGCGAACCGGAUUAGAUACCCGGGUAGUCCUGGCUGUAAACGAUGCGGACUAGGUGUCGGGCAAGCUAAGGGCUUGUCCGGUGCCGCAGGGAAGCCGUUAAGUCCGCCGCCUGGGGAGUACGGCCGCAAGGCUGAAACUUAAAGGAAUUGGCGGG